rnacentral:rRNA from 1 species
AGUGAGCGCUGGCGGCAGGCCUAACACAUGCAAGUCGAACGGCAGCACAGUAAGAGCUUGCUCUUACGGGUGGCGAGUGGCGGACGGGUGAGGAAUACAUCGGAAUCUACUUUUUCGUGGGGGAUAACGUAGGGAAACUUACGCUAAUACCGCAUACGACCUACGGGUGAGAGCAGGGGAUCUUCGGACCUUGCGCGAUUGAAUGAGCCGAUGUCGGAUUAGCUAGUUGGCGGGGUAAAGGCCCACCAAGGCGACGAUCCGUAGCUGGUCUGAGAGGAUGAUCAGCCACACUGGAACUGAGACACGGUCCAGACUCCUACGGGAGGCAGCAGUGGGGAAUAUUGGACAAUGGGCGCAAGCCUGAUCCAGCCAUACCGCGUGGGUGAAGAAGGCCUUCGGGUUGUAAAGCCCUUUUGUUGGGAAAGAAAAGCAGCAGGUUAAUACCCCGCUGUUCUGACGGUACCCAAAGAAUAAGCACCGGCUAACUUCGUG